rnacentral:rRNA from 1 species
AGUCACUGACAUUAGAUACCCCCGUAGUCCCAGCCGUAAACGAUGCUCGCUAGGUGUCAGGCAUGGCGUGACUGUGUUUGGUGCCGAAGGGAAGCCGUGAAGCGAGCCACCUGGGAAGUACGGCCGCAAGGCUGAAACUUAAAGGAAUUGGCGGGGGGGCACCACAACGGGUGGAGCCUGCGGUUUAAUUGGACUCAACGCCGGGAAGCUCACCGGAUAGGACAGCAGAAUGAUUGCCGGGCUGAAGACCCUGCAUGACUAGCUG